rnacentral:rRNA from 1 species
GACGAACGCUGGCGGCGUGCUUAACACAUGCAAGUCGAGCGGUAAGGCCCUUUCGGGGGGUACACGAGCGGCGAACGGGUGAGUAACACGUGGGUGACCUGCCCUCAGCUCUGGGAUAAGCCUGGGAAACCGGGUCUAAUACCGGAUAUGACUCCAUGACGCAUGUUGUGGGGUGGAAAGCCUUGUGCGGCUGAGGAUGGGCCCGCGGCCUAUCAGCUUGUUGGUGGGAUGAUGGCCUACCAAGGCGACGACGGGUAGCCGGCCUGAGAGGGCGACCGGCCACACUGGGACUGAGACACGGCCCAGACUCCUACGGGAGGCAGCAGUGGGGAAUCUUGCGCAAUGGGCGAAAGCCUGACGCAGCGACGCCGCGUGAGGGAUGAUGGCCUGGU